rnacentral:rRNA from 1 species
AGUGAACGCUGGCGGUAGGCCUAACACAUGCAAGUCGAACGGCAGCACAGUAAGAGCUUGCUCUUACGGGUGGCGAGUGGCGGACGGGUGAGGAAUACAUCGGAAUCUACUUUUUCGUGGGGGAUAACGUAGGGAAACUUACGCUAAUACCGCAUACGACCUACGGGUGAAAGCAGGGGAUCUUCUGAUCUUGCGCGAUUGAAUGAGCCGAUGUCGGAUUAGCUAGUUGGCGGGGUAAAGGCCCACCAAGGCGACGAUCCGUAGCUGGUCUGAGAGGAUGAUCAGCCACACUGGAACUGAGACACGGUCCAGACUCCUACGGGAGGCAGCAGUGGGGAAUAUUGGACAAUGGGCGCAAGCCUGAUCCAGCCAUACCGCGUGGGUGAAGAAGGCCUUCGGGUUGUAAAGCCCUUUUGUUGGGAAAGAAAAGCAGCAGGUUAAUACCCCGCUGUUCUGACGGUACCCAAAGAAUAAGCACCGGCUAACUUCGUG